GGGUAAUAGAGAGAUAUAAAGUUAUUCUUGAAGCCUUCAUCUACAAGCUUAAACUUUUAGAUUAAGUGGUUUUUUUGACAUGGUAUCAAAGCAGCAUAGCUUUUAAAUUGAGUGGUUCUUUGACAAUUGAUAGUUGAGUGGUAGUGAUAGCUAAGUGGUGAUUGUAGUGGUGACAAGAUGAGGUAGUGGUUAUGGUAGUGGCCAAGUAGUGGUAGAGCUAACAAUAACUA
rnacentral:misc_RNA from 1 species